GUCUAAUUGCACUUAUUUACUUCCCUUUAAAAAUAUGUGAAUUUUCAUGUUUAGGUUUCAGAGAAUCAGUUACUUAGGAUAUGAAUCCUGCAUUGUGGAGAGAGUAGUCACUGUGGAAAAGGAAGCCUAAACUUCAUUUUUAUCAAAAUGCAGAAAUUAUGAAACUUAAACCAUCUUAGAGAUUCCUGGGUUUUUCUUCUCUUUCUUUUUUUUUUUUUCCCAGAGAUGAUGAGGUGUCAGCCUGCUGCCCAGGCUGGAGAGCGGUGGUGUGAUCAGUACCCAUUGCAACCUCGAACCGCUGGGCUCAAGCAAUCCUCAAACCUCUGCUUCUCAAGUAGCUAGGACUACAGGUGCGCACCACCAUGCCCGGCUAAUUUUUUAAGAUUUUUGGAGAGAUAGUCUUGCUGUGUUGCCCAGGCUGCUCUCAAUCCCUUGGCCUGCCAGUGAUCCUCUUACUUCCACCUCCUCAAGCACUGGGAUUACAGGUGUGUGCCACUGAAACAGCCAGGUGAGGGGGGUACCCUGGACAAACUCUAAUCAGCCUGCCCACUGAGGUGUAGCCUCAGGAAGUUCAAUAGGGAGGAGCCUGGCCCCUCCUCUUCCUGUGUGGAACCUGCGAUUUCAAGGGCCGACAGGAAGCCUCGAUCGGGGAACUCUGACCUUGCGGAGGAAACUUGUUUCCCUUUUUUUCUUCCCGCCGACUUUCACUCGAUAAAACCCUGCUUUAUUCACCCUUUAAACCUUCUCCAAACCUAAAUUUUCCUGGCCUUGGGACGGACAAGAACCCAGUCUUCAGAUGAAGGAAGGAAAAGUCCUGCAACAUUCUUGGCGUGCAACGUUGGGGCUCUUGAAGAGAAGCCAAGGGCACACCCACACAUGUGGAGUUAAGAAUACCUGCUCACCAACCUCAAAGGAAGUGCAAAGAACAAGAAGAGCCAGCAGUGUACAAGGGAAGUUCCAAACUAUAAAAAGAAGACUGCCCAUCUGCAGACCUGCACUUGUCCAUAGCAGAAGUAAAUUGAGAGCCCAAACUUGAGUGCUCUGCAAUCUUCUUCAAUGAUGUUUCUUUUCACCAUCUUGGUGCUGAGGGCACUGCACCCCCUGUAAUCUGUCAUGUGGUGUCUGUUUUCUCUUCCACCCUCCUGAUACCACUGGGCAUAGAGGUGGGGUAUACAUUCUAAGUGCUCUUCAUCACCAUCUCCAGGCUGGUCUCCUUCCCUCCUUCUCUCUCCUAGCUUCAAAUUUCAUAUCCUCCAAACAAUCACUACCUUCCAUUGCCACUGUCAUUGCUGACCUGGGGCUACUCUCUUCUUGAUGGUUAUAGCACUUCGUUCCCUAUCACUGUCUCCUACACUACAACUGACAUAAUUUUUAGUGAUUUUGAUAUACCCAUAGUCCAUAUGUCCAGUUCACUGGAGUAUCUGAUCCUUAGCCUCCUCUUCUCCAAAAAUCUUGUCUUCUACCCUACCCAUACCACCCAGUCCCACAGUCAGAGACUGCAUUUUGUCAUUACCAAUAACUGCAACUUUACUAGAAUCUCAGUUUCAAACAUCCUAUUCUUCAAACACCACCUUUUUUAAAGUUUACAUGUCACUCUCCUUUUACAUCAACUGAGUCUUUCAACCCUGGGACCCAAAGUCUAUGGAUCCUACCACCUUUUCAGCCCUUUACCCUGUUCCUGAUCUUUUCUCUACCCAGCUUAAGCCUUUGGUCAAUCAAUAUAAUAACACCCACGCACACAUCCUCAACCCUCUAACACUUUAUUGGUUCUUUGCUCCCUUGGCUAAAUGAAAUUCUGCUUAAAUUUAAAUCUGUGCCUACUCCUGCCUUCACCCAUACAGCUGAUUUGGUGAGAGAAGAUAUUAACUGUGCCCAUAAUAACUGCUCUCAAUUAAAACCCAUGGUCAUUAACAGUAAGUGGGCCUUCCGGCAGACCUUCCUGCUGUCCAGUAAACAAACUACCUUUCCUGACACUUACUGAGCACAUUCAUUCACUUUCCUGCUUCCCUAGACUAAGUUAUUUCAUAAGUCUUUUAUGUUUCAGUUUUCUCAUGAAACCUCCAACACCUCUUUCCCCAUCCACUUCUGAGCCUCACUAAAACGUCACUAAAGGCUCACUUCUGAGCCUCACUAAAGAAUGGAAACAACAGAAGAUAAGUAUCAUAAAUUCCCAUAUUCUUAUCUGUGCCUACCUACUCUACCACUCCCACUUUUUAUGGAUGAACAAUAUUCCAAGCUAAGGCCAAUCUCUCCUCUUGAUUCCUGCCCUGAAGCCUGAACACAGACACCACUCUUCUACUCCUCUCUUUCUCGUUUGCAUCAUAAGUUUUUCCUCCUUACUGUGUCCUAUUAAUUUUCCAACAUGUAUUAUUUCUCCAAUCUUCAAAAACAAAAACAAACAAAGCAAUUUUCCUGAUCCUAUAUCCAUCUCCAGCUAACACUUCAUUCUCACCUUCCCUUUACAGCAAAGCUCCAUGAGAGGGUUAUCUAUAAUUUCUGUCUCUAAAAUCCCUGUUCCUACUCUCUCUUUUUAAAAAAAUAAAUUUCAUUGUGUAUGUUUAUGAUAUAUAGCAUGAUAUUAUAAGACACACAUGCAUAUUAAAAUGGUUACUAAAAUGUAACAGAUGAACGUAUACAUCAUCUCACAUAGUUACCCUCUGCCCGAUGCCCUUGGCAAGAACAGCUAUAAUCUACUCAUUUAGCAAAAUUCCUGAAUAUAAUACAGGAUUAUUAAUUAUAGUUUUCAGGUUGUAUUUUAAAUCUUUCCACUUGUUCGUCUUACAUAUUUGCUAUUUUUUUUGCAAUGGAUAAUGUACUUCUAAAAUUUAUAUACAUUUAUGGGGUACAAGCGCAAUUUUGUUACAUGCAUCGUGGUCAAUUCAAGACUUUCAGGGUAUCCAUCACCUGAAUAAUGUACAGUGUACUCAUUAAGUAUUUUUUCCUCAUUCCCUCUCCUCUCACCCCAUUACUCGUUCAAGUUUCCAUUGUCUAUCAUUCCACUCUCUAUACCAAUGGUGUUCACCUUUUUUUUAAGCACCCACGUAUGGGUGAGACCAUGUGAUAUUUGUCUUUCUGUGUCUGCCUAGUUUCACUUGAGAUAAUGACCUCCAGUUCCAUCCAAGUUGCUGCAAAAGCCAUAAUUCCAUUCCUUUUUAAUGGCUGAAUAGUAUUCCAUUGUAUAGGUAUACCACAUUUUCUAAAUCUAAUCAUCCAUUGAUGGAUACUUAGGGUGAUUCCAUAUCUUUGCUAUUUUGAAUAGUGCUGCAAGAAACAUAUGAGUUCACAUGCUUUUUUUAAAUAUAUUGAUUUUUUUUUCCUUUGAGUAGACACCCAGUAGUGGGAUUGCUGGAUUGAAUGGUAGUUCUAGUUUUAGUUCUUAAGAAAUCCACAUACUGUUUUCCAUAGUGUUUCAUCCUUAUAACUCACCAAAUUUCUAUCUAUAUGUUAUCUGUACUAAUUUCUUUGGCAAUCUCUUCCAAUCUCAUGUUUUAAAUAUUAUCUAUCUGCUAAUAACUUACAUUUGCAUCUCUAGUCUAGACUUCUCCCCUAGACUUCGGACUCCAUAUAUCUAAUUGCCUACUCAGCAUUUACAUUUGGAGAUCUAAUAGGUAUUUUAAAAGCCUUGCAUGUCCAAAACCAAACUCCAGCUAUUCACCCUUCAAAUCUGUUUCUCUCAAAAUCAUCUUCAUCUCAGGAAACGGCAGCUUCAUCUAUCUAGUUAUUCAACUUUGAAUAACUUUGAAUAACCCUGAAUAACCCUGAAACUUUGAAUCAAUCUCAAUACCCCACACCCAACCCCUCAGCAGAUCCUGUCCACUCUACUUCCCAAAGUACACAUUUCUUACCACCUCCAAUGUCACCACUCUUAUACGUGGCACCAUCAAGCCUCAUCUGAAAUAUUUUGAUAGCUUUGUAGCUAGUUUCCUUGUUUCUUCCCUUGUCCAUAUUCAAGCUAUUCCCAACACAGCAGCCACACAUAUGUCAGAUCCUUUUCAUUUAUUCCUCAGAAACUGCCAAUACCUUCCAUCUCACUCUGAGUGACAACAAAGGCCUUAUAAUGUCCUAAAGUCCCCAUAUGAUCACUCUAUAAUCUCCCUAGAUGAUCCCCACCAUUACCAUUCUCAUCUCCUGAAGCACAUCUCCUAUAACUCUGUGCUCCUCUCAUGUCCCUCCACCCAUGCUGGCCUCUGUAUUAUUUCUCUGACAUACCAGAGACAGUUUUCCCUCAGGACUUCCACAAUGACUAUGAAUAACCUGUGCCUGGGAUGAUGUUUUGCCUAGAUAUGUGCCUGGCUUGAUUUCUCGGCUUCUUAAUUAUGUUACUCAGAGUUCACCUUUUCAUUGAAAUCUUCCCUGACCCCUUAUUUCUCUUCACCCUCCCCUUCUUCAUUUUUCUACUUAAAAAUGUAUUUUCAUACAGCAUAGAGAACACUUUACUUAUUUAUCUUGUUAUAUCUCCACUAAAAUGUAAGUUCUAUCAGGUUAGAAUUUUUGUUGUUGUUGUUUUUUGUUUUGUUUUGUUCAUUGCUCUGCCCUCAGCGCCUAACAAAAUUUCCAGGCUGGUGCGGUGGCUCAUACCUGUAAUCCCAGGACUUUGGGAGGCUGAGGCGGGUGGAUCACAAGGUCAAGAGAUCGAGACCAUCCUGGCCAACAUGGUGAAACCCCGUCUCUACUAAAAAUACAAAAAUUAGCUGUGAUGUGGUGUAGUGUGGUGAUGUGCGCCUGUAGUCCCAGCUACUCAGGAGUCUGAGGCAGGAGAAUCGCUUGAACCUGAGAGGUGGAGGUUGCAGAGAGCCAAGAUUGCGCCACUGCACUCCAACCUGGCAACGACAAUAACAAUAACAACAAGAUUCCUGACACAUAGCAAAUUCUCACUGAAUACUGGGUUAAUAAAUGUAUAAAUGGUUACUUCUGAGUAGGCACUGACUGAAAAAAUACAAGGCAAAAGUUUUUGUGAAUACAGUUAUGCCUUUAACUAAGUUCUCCUCUUUAAAUCAUAAAAUCACAUAAUACAUUCAAAGAGGAGCAGAAAAGGUAUGCACAGGAGGAUAUUCUGAAACUCUCUUAAAUUUUCAAACUUACAGACAGUAUUUGGAACGCACAUGGGGUUUUCAAAUCCCUUGUGAUGACUUUCUGUUUCUCUCUGAGGUCCUUGAUACAGAGAUUGCGAUCAGUGCUUAAUAGUUCUGCCAAUGUAAUCUUGCCAAAAUACAAAGCCUCAGCAUGUCACUCCUCUGGUUAAAAUCCUUUAGAAUUGCUUAUGACUUGAUAUAGUUUCACUGUGUCCCCACCCAAAUCUCACAUUAAAUUGUAGCUCUCAUAAUUCCCACGUGGAGGGAUCCAGUGGGAGAUAAUUGAAUCAGGGGGGCGGUUUCCCCCAUGCUGUUCUUGUGGUAGUGAAUAAGUCUCAUGAGAUCUGAUAGUUUUAUAAAGGGAAACCCCUUUCACUUGGUUCUCAUUCUCUCUUAUCUGCCACCCUGUAAAACGUGCCUUUCACCUUCUGC
rnacentral:lncRNA from 1 species